GUUUUGUUGGCCUUCCCCUUAAUUCUUACUCAUAGGCAACUUCAUCGUCAUUAGUUUCAAUACCUAUGGCAUCCAAAGCCUUGCAAAUAUCAAGGGUUACCCCUCCACCUCUUCUGCCUUUCCUGUCUCUUCUGAAGAACUUGUAUCCAUCCAGUGCAGAAUUCCAGCCAUGUGAGUCACCCCACCACACUUCUGUGAUGGCAAUUACAUCAUAGCUCUGCUCUUGGACCAUGGCCUCCAGCUCUUCUUGUUUGUUACCCAUGCUGCGUGCACUAGGUAACAAUGCACCUCAGCUGGGCAGCUGAUUUCACUCCUAUCUCAGGUUUACCAGCCUUGGGCUGGCUUCCAGACAGUCCAAUUGCAUCCUCUUCCCCCUUCAAACCUUGUUCAAAGUCCUCUCAACAAGUUCUGCCAGUUCACAAGCUAAAAACCUGCUACCCUUACCAGAGAGAUGGAGCCCAUCUCGUUCCAGUAGAGCAGGUGUUGUAAAAGUUGCCCCAUGAUCAAAGAAUCCAAAAUUCUCCUUAUGGCAGCAAGGCAGCAACCCUUGAGCCACUUCCUGAUAAUGUGAGAUCUCCUAUUCCUUUCACGGUUUCUCGCAGCCACCAAAGGGACUGAGGAAAAGACUACCUGUAGCCCUGUACAACUACUUGUCCCAGUGCCCUAAAGCCCCUUUUAAUUGCCCUGACACACCUCUUUUCAAUCUCAUCACUGCCAGCCUGAGGUAUCAGUAGUGGGUAAUAACCAGAGAGCUGAAUCAGCCCAGGCAGUCUCUCAGUGAUAUCCCAUACCCAGGCCCCAGGGAGGCAGCAGACCUCUCUGUGGGGUGGGUCCAGUCGACAUGUGGGGGCCUCUGUUCCCCUCAGAAGGAAAUCACCCACCAUGAUUAACCUUCUUUUCUUUUUGAUGUUAGAGGUGGUAGUCCUUCUCACAGAUUAAUCAUAACUGGGAGGCUCACUGGGCAGAUAAUUUUCUUCUAAAUCAUCUGGCUGAUUCUCCAGGCGUUCAUACCUAUUCUGAAGUGGCACCUGGCUUGGGAGUGAGAGUCAGGAGGAGUUUUUAUUAUUACCUCCUCGAGUAGGGACCCAUUUCCACUCCCCUUCAUCUACCAGGUGUCCUUCUAUUGCCUAACAGUGAGAGUCACAGGAGUCCUCUGACUCUUGGUGGGCCUCCCUCAAGGAUGGAAGGGCUGAACUCUGCCAAUCUUUCACUUUCCCUGAUGCUCCUUAGUCUUUCAACUUCCUCUCUAAGCUCGGCCACAAGUGAAAGGAGAUGAUUCACGUGUUCACACCACAAGCAGGUUCCCUCUGCAAUGCCCCCUGAAAGCACUGAUAAGCUCAAACACUCCACACAGGAAUGGGUCUGCACAGACACAUCCUUUUUGGAGGGUUCCAUCUGGUUACAUGCUCUUGUACUAACUACAGUUUUCAAUCACGUAAAAACCAUUACUACCAGAAACCCCAAACCAACCAACCAACAGAAACACUGCACACAACACACAGUAAAUCUGAGAGGCAACAAAAGCUGGAACUCUGCUUGUUCAUCUGCCACGCAAACUGCCGUGCCGCUCCCUCAGAGCCUUGCCACGCUCCCGUUUGCCCGCUCUGGGUCGCCGCACUCCCUAGGGGUCUCUUUUAAUCAGCCUGCUAUUCAGGAACAGAAGAAGUAGUAAUUUUAAUUGCUGGGUUUGCUUUCAGCACCACCAUUCUCUUCUAAAAGAUGUCUUAGAAUAUUUCUGUUACCACUAAUUUUAAUGCUCCAGUAUAUGUUGACAAUUAAAGAUUGUGGUAUUUGCCUACAGAAGCUGUGCAGUGUGAAGGGAGAUGCUGGCUGGGGACCCAAGUGACUGUAAUUGUUUGAAAGGCAGAUUCCCAUCAGGAGCAGGAGGUGCAGCAGCUCCUUUGGGCACAAAGCGAGGUCCAAAAGAGUCUGUUCAGGGAAAGUAAAUUUACUUUCCAGAGUUUACUUUUUCAAAAGAAAAAGUUGAAAAAAGCCAGGAAAUGCAGAGAACUGAAGAGGUUAUGGUUGCAAGGAAAGGCUAUUUCAGAAAUGUUAGUGGUUUAUAACAAAAAGAAAGGAAAAAGCCUUUGGUUAAAAAAAAAAAAAAAAAA
rnacentral:lncRNA from 1 species